rnacentral:misc_RNA from 1 species
UUGAUUCAUUUUCUUGUGAGACUCAGAAUAUGCCACUAUAAUACAAGAGUUUGGGUCCUCCGGCGGGCGCCUGGUUCCGGGGCUGCGACGCACCCGGGGCGUGACCCCGCCGAGGCAACAGUUUGGUAACGUUCACAUUGGGUUUGGGAGUUGUAAACUCGGUAAUGAUCCCUCCGCUGGUUCACCAACGGAGA